GAUGAACGCUGGCGGCGUGCCUAAUACAUGCAAGUCGAGCGAAUGGAUUAAGAGCUUGCUCUUAUGAAGUUAGCGGCGGACGGGUGAGUAACACGUGGGUAACCUGCCCAUAAGACUGGGAUAACUCCGGGAAACCGGGGCUAAUACCGGAUAACAUUUUGAACCGCAAGGUUCGAAAUUGAAAGGCGGCUUCGGCUGUCACUUAUGGAUGGACCCGCGUCGCAUUAGCUAGUUGGUGAGGUAACGGCUCACCAAGGCAACGAUGCGUAGCCGACCUGAGAGGGGGAUCGGCAACACUGGGACGGAAACACGGCCCAGACUCCUACGGGAGGCGGCAGUAGGGAAUCUUCCGCAAUGGACGAAAGUCUGACGGAGCAACGCCGCGUGAGUGAUGAGGGCUUUCGGGUCGUAAAACUCUGUUGUUAGGGAAGAACAAGUGCUAGUUGAAUAAGCUGGCACCUUGACGGUACCUAACCAGAAAGCCACGGCUAACUACGUGCCAGCCGCCGCAGUAA
rnacentral:rRNA from 1 species